AAUCCAUAGGUUAAUGAGGCGAACCGGGGGAACUGAAACAUCUAAGUACCCCGAGGAAAAGAAAUCAACCGAGAUUCCCCCAGUAGCGGCGAGCGAACGGGGAGGAGCCCAGAGCCUGAAUCAGCAUGUGUGUUAGUGGAAGCGUCUGGAAAGGCGCGCGAUACAGGGUGACAGCCCCGUACACAAAAGCGCAUGUGCUGUGAGCUCGAUGAGUAGGGCGGGACACGUGGUAUCCUGUCUGAAUAUGGGGGGACCAUCCUCCAAGGCUAAAUACUCCUGACUGACCGAUAGUGAACCAGUACCGUGAGGGAAAGGCGAAAAGAACCCCGGCGAGGGGAGUGAAAAAGAACCUGAAACCGUGUACGUACAAGCAGUGGGAGCACAGGUUUACCUGUGUGACUGCGUACCUUUUGUAUAAUGGGUCAGCGACUUAUAUUCUGUAGCAAGGUUAACCGUAUAGGGGAGCCGGAGGGAAACCGAGUCUUAAUUGGGCGUUAAGUUGCAGGGUAUAGACCCGAAACCCGGUGAUCUAGCCAUGGGCAGGUUGAAGGUUGGGUAACACUAACUGGAGGACCGAACCGACUAAUGUUGAAAAAUUAGCGGAUGACCUGUGGCUGGGGGUGAAAGGCCAAUCAAACCGGGAGAUAGCUGGUUCUCCCCGAAAGCUAUUUAGGUAGCGCCUCGUGAAUUCAUCUCCGGGGGUAGAGCACUGUUUCGGCUAGGGGGCCAUCCCGGCUUACCAACCCGAUGCAAACUGCGAAUACCGGAGAAUGUUAUCACGGGAGACACACGGCGGGUGCUAACGUCCGUCGUGAAGAGGGAAACAACCCAGACCGCCAGCUAAGGUCCCAAAGUCAUGGUUAAGUGGGAAACGAUGUGGGAAGGCCCAGACAGCCAGGAUGUUGGCUUAGAAGCAGCCAUCAUUUAAAGAAAGCGUAAUAGCUCACUGGUCGAGUCGGCCUGCGCGGAAGAUGUAACGGGGCUAAACCAUGCACCGAAGCUGCGGCAGCGAACGUAUCACCCAAGACAACUUUACGGAGUUGACGAUUGACGGAGCGAAGCGACGUCAAAGCGUUCAUUAAAGUCGAGUUGGCUUAGGGAUACGUUCGUUGGGUAGGGGAGCGUUCUGUAAGCCUGUGAAGGUGUGUCGUGAGGCAUGCUGGAGGUAUCAGAAGUGCGAAUGCUGACAUAAGUAACGAUAAAGCGGGUGAAAAGCCCGCUCGCCGGAAGACCAAGGGUUCCUGUCCAACGUUAAUCGGGGCAGGGUGAGUCGACCCCUAAGGCGAGGCCGAAAGGCGUAGUCGAUGGGAAACGGGUUAAUAUUCCCGUACUUGGUGUUACUGCGAAGGGGGGACGGAGAAGGCUAUGUUGGCCGGGCGACGGUUGUCCCGGUUUAAGCGUGUAGGUGUGUGUUCCAGGUAAAUCCGGUUCACUUUAACACUGAGGCGUGACGACGAGGCACUACGGUGCUGAAGCAACAAAUGCCCUGCUUCCAGGAAAAGCCUCUAAGCAUCAGGUAACACGAAAUCGUACCCCAAACCGACACAGGUGGUCAGGUAGAGAAUACCAAGGCGCUUGAGAGAACUCGGGUGAAGGAACUAGGCAAAAUGGUGCCGUAACUUCGGGAGAAGGCACGCUGACACGUAGGUGAAGUGAUUUACUCAUGGAGCUGAAGUCAGUCGAAGAUACCAG
rnacentral:rRNA from 1 species